rnacentral:lncRNA from 1 species
CCUCCUCAAGCCGCCGCCGCUCGGGGCCGCACCCGAGGCACUCCUCCGGCCUCUGGGCACUCCCCGCCGUCGUCCCCGACCUGCCCCGGCCGCCGCCGUGGUCGCAGCAGCUGUGGUACCCGAGCUCAACUCGUGCGGGGCUUGGCUUGCUCUACCGUCGCUGCCGCCACUCCUUGCUGCCAUCUGUGGUGAGCACUUUGCUCCUUCCCUCCCCGGCACCCACUUCUGGCCCGCGCGCACUUUCCCGUGCCACCGGAAUCCGGCCGGAGCAAGCCUGCUCCUGCCAAGCCCGAAAUAGGGCUUUUCUUGGUGGGUUUACUGUUCUGAGCUAUCCGAGGCUCCCCGAUCUCUCCGGAAGGGAGCACGAUGAUCAUGGCAAAUUUUUGAUCAUCGUGCUCACUUAGAUUUUGUCGGGGACACUCCGUUCCGCUGUUUCGG